UCCUACGGGGCGCAGCAGUGAGGAAUAUUGGUCAAUGGUCGGGAGACUGAACCAGCCAAGCCGCGUGAGGGAUGAAGGUACAGAGUAUCGUAAACCUCUUUUGUCAGGGAACAAAGGCGGGGACGCGUCCCCGGAUGAGUGUACCUGAAGAAAAAGCAUCGGCUAACUCCGUGCCAGCAGCCGCGGUAAUACGGAGGAUGCGAGCGUUAUCCGGAUUUAUUGGGUUUAAAGGGCGCGCAGGCGGUCUGUUAAGUCAGCGGUCAAGGCCCGGGGCUCAACCCCGGCCCGCCGUUGAAACUGGCAGU
rnacentral:rRNA from 1 species